rnacentral:sRNA from 1 species
CUCGCGUGUGUUGUUGUUCUUCUUCUAUCUUCUGCUU